ensembl:lncRNA
AAAUAAACUUGUUAAGCUCACAAGAAUCAUCCUGACCAGGCCCACCUGUGAAUGGUUGCAGGCAAGAAGAAAUUAACACAUCCCUUUCCGGAGUCUGGCUGGAACCAGAACUUUAGCCCCUCCUCUUUCAGUGUAAAAGAAGCCUGAUUCCUAACUCCGGAAACAUGGUUCUUUGGGACACUAGAGCGUCAUCUUCUGGGUCUGCUGGCUUUCCAAAUCAAGUUGCAAUUCCUUGUCCCAACAACUCAUCUCUUGAUUUAUUGGUCCAUUGUGCAGUGACCAGUAUCAGAUCAGACCAGUAUAAGCUUGGACUCAGUAAAAAACUUUAGUAGAGCCAGCCAGGAGACUAACUGCUUGUGGACAGCCAACCCUGGUUAGGGAAUUUUCCAGUAAGGCCCUAGCAGCUGCUGGGACCACUUGUCUUGAGGAUCUGCCCUUCAGAAUUUCCUAAAGCAGCACUGGCUGCCUCAGUACAUGGCAGCUGGAAUAAGGGAUCAGCAUUUGGUAGUCGACGGGCUCAAUGCAAUAGGAACCAGGGUGGCCUGGCACAGAUGCACUGAUGAGGGAUGCACUAAAAGCAGCUACAAGUGGCUGCAUCAGGAAGGAUCAAGGGCAGGCUGCAGCAACGGGCCAACACAAGGACGUCAUCUCACCAAGGGCUGCGUUUGAGGUAGGGCUACUCAAAUUAGGUGAAAGCCCUAAGAAUUGCCUGGUCUCUGGAGCAGCGUCAGCAAGGGACAGCUUCGUGCUGGGCAGGCUGACCAGGUGCUGGAAAGGUACAAGGCUUGGCAAUGAGGUUUGCAAUCCUGUUGGCAAUUUUCUACAACUUUUUAAACUGGGACAGCUUAAUUAGAAUCCUGACUUCUCUCUUCUCCAUCAGCAAUUUGCUCAAGUUUUGAAAAACAUCAUUAAAACAAAGGAUGCAGACAAGGAAGAGGACUGACAAUUAGCAUAAGAACCUUUCUAAAAGGUCAGCAUCCCACAUACCAGGACUUAUUAAGAAGAAUGAAGGAAUAGAGACAAAACUGAAACAGAAGUGGAGCCCCCAGCUCUUCUCUUCUGUGACCUACCCACACACACUGAUAAAGUUAAUUAUCUGCCCUGGCUAAAUGACUUUCCCUAGCAACACCCUAGCAACUAACAUCAGCUCUGCCUUAGGCUACAAAACUGGAAAGAGAUUUCUUGAAGUCCAGUGUAUUUUACAACAGAACGAAACAUCUGAACAGGAAAUUAAACAGAAAGUAAACUGGAUUCAUUGCUAGGAGAUGAGACAUAGACAUACGAGACAGUUUACAACAAUCUACUGAACGCAAUAGUCAAAAUAAGAAACUUUCUUCUCACAAGUUAUACUGAAGUCCGGAGGAGAGACUGCAAGACUUCAUUCCAUGGAGAAGAAGAGAAUUUCAAUGGGCAGAAAAAGGGAAGACAUCCUAGGUGAUGGGAAAGCUAUAAACAAAGUUUGCCAAUUCUGAAAGUGGGGAAUACAGGGGAUCCAGCUGGGGAGCACUGAGAGCUCAGUCUGGAAUCUAUGACCAGAUCAUGGAGGGCCUUGAAGUUCACUUGAAGAACCUGGGCUGCAUCAGAGGGUCCUGGGAGGCUGUUAUUCACAGAACAAAUACUUAUGGAGCCAGGCACCAUGAUGUGCAUGGAGGACACAGUGGUGAGCCCCAGAGACAGUACCAGUCCUUAUGGAUACUGGAAUCUAGUGAUGGAGACAGUGAACAAACACCAAAUGUAAAAGUCAAACAUAAAAGUGACCAUAUGAUUAUAACACAACAUUUCCCUGGUGGCUGCUAAAGAGUCUGCCUGCAAUGUGGGAAACCUAGGUUCGAUCCCUGCAUUGGGAAGAUCCCCUGGAGAAAGGAAGAUAAUUAUAAAUCUUGAGACUAUUAAGAAGAAGAUAUCAAGUUCCAGGAGAGCAUAUAAAGAGGGGCAGGACCUAUUCAGGGAAAUCUGGAAGGACUUCUCUGGGGAAGCAGUUUUGCGCUGAGAUCUGAAGGAUGAGUAGAAGUUGGUUGGGAGAGGACGGUGGGUGGGGGAGACAAAAGCACUGGAUUCUAGGCAGAGAGAACCACACAGACAAAAGUUCAUAAAACUGAAAAGCCAUGGUGGCCAGAGAUCAUGAGAGAAGGGGCGCGUGGCCUUGAGAGGCAGAUCAAGCAGAGCCUCAGAGGCCACAUUAAAGAUUCUUUGUUUUGAGAACCCCAAAAAGCCAGUGGAAAAGGAUUUUAACUGAGGGAUUGACAUUCUAGUCUGCAUUUUAAAAAGGAUCACUCAGACUUCAGUUCAGAAGAUGCACUGGAGGAGAGAAAGAGUAGACAUGGGCAGCCCAGUUAGGAGGCUGAGAGAUGAUGGCAGCUCAGACUGGUGUGGUACCAGAGGAGAUGGCAAAAAAUGGACACAUAUUACAG